UACGGAGGGUGCAAGCGUUGUCCGGAUUUAUUGGGUUUAAAGGGUGCGUAGGCGGCAAUUUUAGUCAGGGGUGAAAUCCAGCAGCUCAACUGUUGAACUGCCCUUGAUACUGGAUUGCUUGAGUACAGACGAGGUAGGCGGAAUUUAUGGUGUAGCGGUGAAAUGCAUAGAUACCAUAAAGAACACCGAUAGCGAAGGCAGCUUACUGGACUGUUACUGACGCUGAUGCACGAAAGCGUGGGGAGCGAACAGG
rnacentral:rRNA from 1 species